rnacentral:rRNA from 1 species
GGGUUGUGAGGUUAAGCGACUAAGCGUACACGGUGGAUGCCCUGGCAGUCAGAGGCGAUGAAGGACGUGCUAAUCUGCGAAAAGCGUCGGUAAGGUGAUAUGAACCGUUAUAGCCGGCGAUGUCCGAAUGGGGAAACCCAGUGCAAUUCGUUGCACUAUCGUUUGAUGAAUACAUAGUCAAACGAGGCGAACCGGGGGAACUGAAACAUCUAAGUACCCCGAGGAAAAGAAAUCAACCGAGAUUCCCCCAGUAGCGGCGAGCGAACGGGGAGCAGCCCGGAGUCUGAAUCAGCUUGUGUGUUAGUGGAAGCGUCUGGAAAGUCGCAGGGUACAGGGUGAUACUCCCGUACACUAAAGCACACAGGCUGUGAACUCGAAGAGUAGGGCGGGACACGUGGUAUCCUGUCUGAAUAUGGGGGGACCAUCCUCCAAGGCUAAAUACUCCUGACUGACCGAUAGUGAACCAGUACCGUGAGGGAAAGGCGAAAAGAACCCCGGCGAGGGGAGUGAAAAAGAACCUGAAACCGUGUACGUACAAGCAGUAGGAGCCUCUUUAUGGGGUGACUGCGUACCUUUUGUAUAAUGGGUCAGCGACUUAUAUUCUGUAGCAAGGUUAACCGUAUAGGGGAGCCGCAGGGAAACCGAGUCUUAACUGGGCGUUAAGUUGCAGGGUAUAGACCCGAAACCCGGUGAUCUAGCCAUGGGCAGGUUGAAGGUUGGGUAACACUAACUGGAGGACCGAACCGACUAAUGUUGAAAAAUUAGCGGAUGACUUGUGGCUGGGGGUGAAAGGCCAAUCAAACCGGGAGAUAGCUGGUUCUCCCCGAAAGCUAUUUAGGUAGCGCCUCGUGAACUCAUCUUCGGGGGUAGAGCACUGUUUCGGCUAGGGGGUCAUCCCGACUUACCAACCCGAUGCAAACUACGAAUACCGAAGAAUGUUAUCACGGGAGACACACGGCGGGUGCUAACGUCCGUCGUGAAGAGGGAAACAACCCAGACCGCCAGCUAAGGUCCCAAAGUCAUGGUUAAGUGGGAAACGAUGUGGGAAGGCCCAGACAGCCAGGAUGUUGGCUUAGAAGCAGCCAUCAUUUAAAGAAAGCGUAAUAGCUCACUGGUCGAGUCGGCCUGCGCGGAAGAUGUAACGGGGCUAAACCAUGCACCGAAGCUGCGGCAGCGACACUAUGUGUUGUUGGGUAGGGGAGCGUUCUGUAAGCCGUUGAAGGUGGCCUGUGAGGGUUGCUGGAGGUAUCAGAAGUGCGAAUGCUGACAUAAGUAACGAUAAUGCGGGUGAAAAACCCGCACGCCGGAAGACCAAGGGUUCCUGUCCAACGUUAAUCGGGGCAGGGUGAGUCGACCCCUAAGGCGAGGCCGAAAGGCGUAGUCGAUGGGAAACAGGUUAAUAUUCCUGUACUCGGUGUUACUGCGAAGGGGGGACGGAGAAGGCUAUGUUGGCCGGGCGACGGUUGUCCCGGUUUAAGCAUGUAGGCGGAUGUUCCAGGUAAAUCCGGAACGUUACUAACGCUGAGGUGUGAUGACGAGGCACUACGGUGCUGAAGUGACAAAUGCCCUGCUUCCAGGAAAAGCCUCUAAGCAUCAGGUAACAUCAAAUCGUACCCCAAACCGACACAGGUGGUCAGGUAGAGAAUACCAAGGCGCUUGAGAGAACUCGGGUGAAGGAACUAGGCAAAAUGGUGCCGUAACUUCGGGAGAAGGCACGCUGAUAUGUAGGUGAAGUGGUUUACCCAUGGAGCUGAAAUCAGUCGAAGAUACCAGCUGGCUGCAACUGUUUAUUAAAAACACAGCACUGUGCAAACACGAAAGUGGACGUAUACGGUGUGACGCCUGCCCGGUGCCGGAAGGUUAAUUGAUGGGGUUAUCCGUAAGGAGAAGCUCUUGAUCGAAGCCCCGGUAAACGGCGGCCGUAACUAUAACGGUCCUAAGGUAGCGAAAUUCCUUGUCGGGUAAGUUCCGACCUGCACGAAUGGCGUAAUGAUGGCCAGGCUGUCUCCACCCGAGACUCAGUGAAAUUGAACUCGCUGUGAAGAUGCAGUGUACCCGCGGCAAGACGGAAAGACCCCGUGAACCUUUACUAUAGCUUGACACUGAACACUGGUCCUUGAUGUGUAGGAUAGGUGGGAGGCUUUGAAGCGUGGACGCCAGUCUGCGUGGAGCCAUCCUUGAAAUACCACCCUUUAAUGGCUGGUGUUCUAACGUGGGCCCGUUAUCCGGGUUGCGGACAGUGUCUGGUGGGUAGUUUGACUGGGGCGGUCUCCUCCUAAAGAGUAACGGAGGAGCACGAAGGUCAGCUAAUCCUGGUCGGACAUCAGGAGGUUAGUGCAAUGGCAUAAGCUGGCUUGACUGCGAGCGUGACGGCGCGAGCAGGUGCGAAAGCAGGUCAUAGUGAUCCGGUGGUUCUGAAUGGAAGGGCCAUCGCUCAACGGAUAAAAGGUACUCCGGGGAUAACAGGCUGAUACCGCCCAAGAGUUCAUAUCGACGGCGGUGUUUGGCACCUCGAUGUCGGCUCAUCACAUCCUGGGGCUGAAGUAGGUCCCAAGGGUAUGGCUGUUCGCCAUUUAAAGUGGUACGCGAGCUGGGUUUAGAACGUCGUGAGACAGUUCGGUCCCUAUCUGCCGUGGGCGCUGGAGAAUUGAGGGGGGCUGCUCCUAGUACGAGAGGACCGGAGUGGACGCAUCACUGGUGUUCGGGUUGUCAUGCCAAUGGCAUUGCCCGGUAGCUAAAUGCGGAAGAGAUAAGUGCUGAAAGCAUCUAAGCACGAAACUUGCCCCGAGAUGAGUUCUCCCUGACUCCUUGAGAGUCCUGAAGGAACGUUGAAGACGACGACGUUGAUAGGCCGGGUGUGUAAGCGCAGCGAUGCGUUGAGCUAACCGGUACUAAUGAACCGUGAGGCUUAACCUUACAACGCCGAAG